CAGGGAGGUAGUGACAAGAAAUAACAAUACGGGGCUUGAAGUCUUGUAAUUGGAAUGAUGGGAAUUUAAACCCCUUCCAGAGUAUCAAUUGGAGGGCAAGUCUGGUGCCAGCAGCCGCGGUAAUUCCAGCUCCAAUAGCGUAUAUUAAACUUGUUGCAGUUAAAAAGCUCGUAGUUGAAUUUCUGCUGCAUCGUGGUUCUUCGCUAUGUCGAGUGAUCUUCGUUGUGGCUUAGUUGGGGCAUGUUUUCAUGACUCGACGUUUACUUUGAGAAAAUUAGAGUGCUUCAAGCAGGCUUUUGCCUUGAAUACUUUAGCAUGGAAUAAUGGAGUAGGACUUUGGUUCUAUUUUGUUGGUUUUAGGAGCCGGAGUAAUGGUUAAUAGGAACAGUUGG
rnacentral:rRNA from 1 species